GAGAAAAUGAGAUUGCUAUCUGCUGUUUCCUUAUUUUUUGCAGGAAAGCAAAGGGUUGUUGACUUCCUCUCCCCUCCCUUCCUUCCUUCUUUCUGAAGGUACUGUACUCAUCUGAAAAAAAAAAAAAAAACCCAGAACGAAAUGAUUGUUCCUGUUCUCCUUCUUAAGUCAUUUGAAACAUUGUCCCUGCUAGUUUUCUAAGUUUACUGCAAUCUCUGCACAGGGGGGAGGGAGACAGUGGGAGACAGAAACAGAUAUUACAAACAUGAGAGCAGGUAGUGUUUAGGGCAAGACUCCUUCCAGCUUCAACAACUGGGCACCUGGGCUGCGCUUCCACCCUGGGACAGCCUCCUGCUUCCACCCCUUACUGAAGCAACUAGUGGAAAGGACUUUCUGCCUCCCUCCAUCUGGUGUCUUUCUGCAGGUUUUUCCAUAAGAAGAAAUGAUCUACCACAGAUUCAGCCCAGUUUCUGGGAUCGGUCCUGUGAUGCCUGUAGCUGUGGCCAGUGGAAUAAGCCCACAGGCUCAGUGAAAGCACCCAAAGGUUAGUAGUGCAAGGAAAAUGUUUAUUUCUAGUAAUUUCAAGGAGUUCUACAGGUCUGUGCUCCAGAAGGAGUAGAACUUUGCACAACUGUGUGUUUGGAAGAAGGGAGUAACUGGCAGCCAGGAAACAAGUGAAACAAUUAGAAACAACUCACUGUCAUUUCUGUGUACAUUUGGUAGCAUUUCAAUAAUCCAACAGAAGCAGUAAAUAACAUAGCUGGGUCCUCAAUUUUUAUAGGCUUUCUAAAUAAUUUUAUACCAUUAUUG
rnacentral:lncRNA from 1 species